rnacentral:rRNA from 1 species
AUUGAACGCUGGCGGCAGGCCUAACACAUGCAAGUCGAGCGGAAACGAUCCUAGCUUGCUAGGAGGCGUCGAGCGGCGGACGGGUGAGUAAUGCAUAGGAAUCUGCCCGGUAGUGGGGGAUAACCUGGGGAAACCCAGGCUAAUACCGCAUACGUCCUACGGGAGAAAGCGGGGGACCUUCGGGCCUCGCGCUAUCGGAUGAGCCUAUGUCGGAUUAGCUGGUUGGUGAGGUAACGGCUCACCAAGGCGACGAUCCGUAGCUGGUCUGAGAGGAUGAUCAGCCACACUGGGACUGAGACACGGCCCAGACUCCUACGGGAGGCAGCAGUGGGGAAUAUUGGACAAUGGGGGCAACCCUGAUCCAGCCAUGCCGCGUGUGUGAAGAAGGCUUUCGGGUUGUAAAGCACUUUCAGUGGGGAAGAAGGCCUGCGGGUUAAUAGCCGGCAGGGACGACAUCACCCACAGAAGAAGCACCGGCUAACUCCGUGCCAGCAGCCGCGGUAAUACGGAGGGUGCGAGCGUUAAUCGGAAUUACUGGGCGUAAAGCGCGCGUAGGCGGCGUAAUAAGCCGGUUGUGAAAGCCCCGGGCUCAACCUGGGAACGGCAUCCGGAACUGUCAGGCUAGAGUGCAGGAGAGGAAGGUAGAAUUCCCGGUGUAGCGGUGAAAUGCGUAGAGAUCGGGAGGAAUACCAGUGGCGAAGGCGGCCUUCUGGACUGACACUGACGCUGAGGUGCGAAAGCGUGGGUAGCAAACAGGAUUAGAUACCCUGGUAGUCCACGCCGUAAACGAUGUCGACCAGCCGUUGGGUGCCUUGAGCACUUAGUGGCGCAGUUAACGCGAUAAGUCGACCGCCUGGGGAGUACGGCCGCAAGGUUAAAACUCAAAUGAAUUGACGGGGGCCCGCACAAGCGGUGGAGCAUGUGGUUUAAUUCGAUGCAACGCGAAGAACCUUACCUACCCUUGACAUCCUCGGAACCCUCUGGAGACAGAGGGGUGCCUUCGGGAACCGAGAGACAGGUGCUGCGUGGCUGUCGUCAGCUCGUGUUGUGAAAUGUUGGGUUAAGUCCCGUAACAAGCGCAACCCCUGUCCCUAUUUGCCAGCACGUGAUGGUGGGAACUCUAGGGAGACUGCCGGUGACAAACCGGAGGAAGGUGGGACGACGUCAAGUCAUCAUGGCCCUUACGGGUAGGGCUACACACGUGCUGCAAUGGCCGGUACAAAGGGAUGCAAGACGGCGACGUGGAGCCUAUCCCAGAAAGCCGGCCUCAGUUCGGAUCGGAGUCUGCAACUCGACUCCGUGAAGUCCGAAUCGCUAGUAAUCGUGAAUCAGAAUGUCACGGUGAAUACGUUUCCCGGGCCU